rnacentral:lncRNA from 1 species
GCCAAAAUCAUGUCAAUGCACUCCAGCCUGGGCGACAAAACUAGACUCUGUCUCAAAAAAAAAAAGAAAAGAAAAAGAAAAUAACUGAAGGCUGGGUGCAGUGGCUCAUGCCUGUAAUCCUAGCACUUUGGGAGGCCGAGGCGGGAGGAUCACUUGAGGUCAGGAGUUCAAGACCAGCCUGGCCAACAUGGUGAAACCCCAUCUCUUCUAAAAAUACAAAAAAAAAAAAAAAUUAGCCAGGCGUGGUGGUGUACGCCUGUAGUCCUAGCUACUCAGGAGGCUGAGGCAGGAGAGUCACUUGAACCCAGGAGGUGGAGGUGGUAGUGAGCCGAGAUUGCACCACUGUACUCCAUCCUGGGCAACAGAGCGAGACUUCGUCUCAAAAUAAAUAAAUAAAGUGUUAUACUUCAGUGGUUUCUGGUAUAUUCUCAGAGUUGUUCAAACAUCACCACUAUCUAAUUUCAAAACAUCUUAUUGCCCCAAAAAAGAAACCCUGUACCCAUUAGCAGUCAUUCCCCAAUCCCUCCUCUGCCCAGCCCUGGCAACCACUGUCUACUUUCUGUUCUGUGGAUUUGGAGUAGAAUCAUAUAGUAUGUGGCCUCUUGUGACUGGCUUCCUUCUCUUGGCAUGAUGUUUAAAGGUUCAUCUACAUUGUAGUGUGUGUCAGGAUUUCAUUUCUUUUUGUGGCUGAAUCAUAUUCCAUGGUAUGCAUGCACCACAUUUUGUCUACGGAUAUUUGAGUUGUUUCCACAUUUUGGCUAUUAUUAAUGCUGCUAUACACAUUUGGCAGAGUGCAGUAGCUCACACCUAUAAUCCUAGCACUUUGGGAGGCUGAGGCAAACGGAUCAAUUGAGGCAGGAGUUUGAGACCAGCUUGGCCAACAUGGCAAAACCCCGUCUCUACUAAAAAUAUAUAGCCAGGCAUGGUGGUGCAUGUCUGUAAUCCCAGCUGUUCAGGAGGCUAAGGCACAAGAAUCGCUUGAAUCCGAGAGGCAGAGCUUGCAGUGAGCCAAGAUCGCACCACUGCACUGACAGUGUUUCAUCAUGUUGGCCAAGCUGGUUUCAAACUCCUGAUCUCAAGUGAGCUGCCCACCUUGUUCUCUCAAAGUGCUGAGAUUACAGGCAUGAGCCCCUGCACCCAGCCUGCAUAACUUUUUUUAAAAGGCAUUGUUGCCUUGUUCCCUUGAAUCACUUUCUCUGGGAAACUAGCUAUCAUGUCAUGAGGACACUCAAGCAGCUCUGGGAGAGACCCCCUGUGGCUAGAAGCUGUGGAUUCUCACCAACAGCCAUGCAAGAUUCCCCAGCCCCAGUCGAGCCUUCAGAUGACCACAGCCCCAGCUGAUAUCUUGACUGCAAUAUCAUGAAAAACCAUGUGUCAGAACUGCUCAGACAUGUUGCUCCCAAAUUCUGGACCUGCAGAAACCAUGAAAGACAAUAAAUGAUUAUUGCUGUUUUAGGUCACUAUGUUUUGAGCUAACUUCUUACACAGCAAUAGAUACUAAUGCAUAUUUUAACCAGUUUCCUACAUUAAAACCUUUCUGUUGGAAAGACCUGGAGUGUGUUUUAUUUUUCUGACUGAUACAAACUCCUGUCCUGAAUUGUAAACCAAGAGUGAAAAAAUAAGAAAAAAGAGUAAAGAAGAUGGAAUAUCUAAAUACAGUCAUGUGUUACUUGAUGACAGCAAUACAUUCUGAGAAACAUAUG